CCCGGAUGUAUUGCCGUUGAGCUCGAUGGGGGUUGUGAUAGGUUACCACCCCUGCACGGGUUUACCAACCCUGCAUAGCUAAUUAGUUGCAACCCAUCAUUUACUGCCUCACACUUCAAUUUUAAUUUAUUGCCCUGCCUGGCUGAGUGAGCCACACACAGCCAGGCCCAGGACUCAAAUUACAUAACAAUCGGUUCAAUAUGCGCUGGCAUAACUGCUGUGCUUGCGCAUGGGACUGUUUCGGGUUGUACAAUUUUUCGGGUUUUACGGCAAAGUGGCCAUGCGCUGGAUAAUGCUGAUCCAGCGCAAAGGACACUUCGGGCCAUAAACAAAGAGAGCCAACUCCAGAUGUCUCCAAUGAGUAAACUCUACAAAUACGAUGUAAGAAAUGUAACCAAACUCAUAUAAAAGGGCCAGGAGCCACCAAAUAAAGGAAUUCUUUCUAGAACACA